rnacentral:misc_RNA from 1 species
AGGACUACCGGGGUAUCUAAUCCUGUUUGCUCCCCACGCUUUCGUGCAUGAGCGUCAGUGCAGGCCCAGGGGAUUGCCUUCGCCAUUGGUGUUCCUCCGCAUAUCUACGCAUUUCACUGCUACACGCGGAAUUCCAUCCCCCUCUGCCACACUCGAGCUGUGCAGUCACAAGCGCCAUUCCCAGGUUGAGCCCGGGGAUUUCACGCCUGUCUUACACAACCGCCUGCGCACGCUUUACGCCCAGUAAUUCCGAUUAACGCUUGCACCCUACGUAUUACCGCGGCUCUGGCAC